GGGCCUGCGGAAGGAUCAUUAUCUAUUCCAUGAGGUGCGGUCGCGGCCCUCGGCGGGAGCAACAGCUACCGUCGGGCGGUAGAGGUAACACUUUCACGCGCCGCAUGUCUGAAUCCUUUUUUUACGAGCACCUUUCGUUCUCCUUCGGCGGGGCAACCUGCCGUUGGAACCUAUCAAAACCUUUUUUUGCAUCUAGCAUUACCUGUUCUGAUACAAACAAUCGUUACAACUUUCAACAAUGGAUCUCUUGGCUCUGGCAUCGAUGAAGAACGCAGCGAAAUGCGAUAAGUAGUGUGAAUUGCAGAAUUCAGUGAAUCAUCGAAUCUUUGAACGCACAUUGCGCCCCUUGGUAUUCCAUGGGGCAUGCCUGUUCGAGCGUCAUCUACACCCUCAAGCUCUGCUUGGUGUUGGGCGUCUGUCCCGCCUCUGCGCGCGGACUCGCCCCAAAUUCAUUGGCAGCGGUCCUUGCCUCCUCUCGCGCAGCACAUUGCGCUUCUCGAGGUGCGCGGCCCGCGUCCACGAAGCAACAUUACCGUCUUUGACCUCGGAUCAGGUAGCUCCCCGGAUU
rnacentral:rRNA from 1 species